AGAGUUUGAUCAUGGCUCAGGAUGAACGUUGGCGGCGUGCCUAAUACAUGCAAGUCGAACGGUAGGUAAGCACUUGUGCUUACUGAGAGUGGCGCACGGGUGAGUAACACGUAACUGAUCUGCCCUGUAGACUGGGAUAACCUUUGGAAACAGAGGCUAAUACCGGAUGAGCUCGUGAGGUUUAGAGAAUCACCAGGAAAAGCUGAGGUGCUAUAGGAUGACGUUGCGAUUCAUCAGCUAGUUGGUGGGGUAAAAGGCUCACCAAGGCUAUCACGGAUAGGGGAUCUGAGAGGGUGGCCCCCCCCCCUGCGACUGAUACACGGCCCACACUCCCCCCGGGAGGCAGCUGCAGGGAAUUGUUCGCAAUG
rnacentral:rRNA from 1 species